AUGCUCACGUCGACAGCAUGACAUACAAGAAGUGAAUGAUACAGAGAAGGUUAGCAUGGCCCGUGAGCAAAUUCGCGAAGCAUUCCCACAUUUA
rnacentral:snRNA from 1 species